GAUGAAGAACGUAGCGAAAUGCGAUAAGUAAUGUGAAUUGCAGAAUUCAGUGAAUCAUCGAGUCUUUGAACGCACAUUGCGCCCCCUGGUAUUCCGGGGGGCAUGCCUGUCCGAGCGUCAUUGCUGCCCUCAAGCACGGCUUGUGUGUUGGGCCGUCGUCCCCCUCCUAGGGGACGGGCCCGAAAGGCAGCGGCGGCACCGCGUCCGGUCCUCGAGCGUAUGGGGCUUCGUCACCCGCUCCGUAGGCCCGGCCGGCGCUUGCCGACGACCAUCAAUCUCUUUCUCCAGGUUGACCUCGGAUCAGGUAGGGAUACCCGCUGAACUUAAGCAUAUCAAUAACGGAGGA
rnacentral:misc_RNA from 1 species